ACACUUUUACUACAUUAACUUCAUGUGGACAACAGACGCAUACACAGUAAUGUGUUACAUUGACAAUAUGUUUGUGUGUGUCAGGGCAUGAAAGGAGCAGAUGGCUACAGCGAUUCUGAUGAAGACCUGCAUGGUGCUUACCUUGAGAGAAUGAAAAAAAGAGGGCAAGAUCUGAACUUUGGUUUACAGUUUUCAACUUAAUUCCAACAAAAUAUAUAAAGAAACAAAUAUAUAAAGUAAUGGCACGUCAAAGUGAGUUUUGUUAUUGGAUUGUGCUGUAUUCUGUAGAGCAGUUACUGUAGAUAAUAUCUGUUAUCUUCCUGUAGAUGAGUCUUUCAACCCUGGAGAAGAGGAUGAUGAUGUCCCAGAAGAGUAUGACAGUAACGUUUCAGAAAGCGAUAGUGAGGCAAAUCAUGGAGACAGCGAGGAAGAAGAGGAAGGCAAGAAGAAAAAAGCUAAAACGAAGCCCAAGAAAGUGAUGAAGGAGAACAAAGUGAGAAAACCACAGAAAGAGGUCUUGUGCAUCUUAGUAUUUACAUAUCAAUAUCUAUUCAAAUAAAGGCAUCUGAGAGAUGCACACUGGUGCUUUUGACACCGUAUUUGUUCGUUACUAUCUUAAAAUGGCACAAAAUGAGCCACACAGUGCAAUACCUUAAUACGUUUACUGGCAUUUGUUCAACAGUCCAGAAAGUGAAACCCGAAACAAAACACUUAAUUAAAUGUCUUUUCUUUUUUUAAACGAGACAUUCAAAUGAUUUUCCAUCAGCAACCUAUGAUUCAAUGUUAGUAAAAGCCACAAUUCACUAUGCAAUUAUUGCGGUAACGUCACUGGUGGACAUAUUAAAACAUGCAUUUCAUACAAGUUUUCAAAAAAUACCAAAAAAAUUAAAUAGACAACAAAAAAAAUUUAUUGCA
ensembl:lncRNA